AGGAUGAUAGCCACUUGGAGUCAUACCGGUUAGAGGCUUAUAUUCAUAUUGUUUAUUUGACUGCCUUGAUCCUACUCGGACAGGGACAGAAGG
rfam:Exiguobacterium sibiricum 255-15, complete genome.